rnacentral:rRNA from 1 species
GUUGAACGCUGGCGGCAGGCCUAACACAUGCAAGUCGAGCGGAUGAAGGGAGCUUGCUCCUGGAUUCAGCGGCGGACGGGUGAGUAAUGCCUAGGAAUCUGCCUGGUAGUGGGGGAUAACGUCCGGAAACGGGCGCUAAUACCGCAUACGUCCUGAGGGAGAAAGUGGGGGAUCUUCGGACCUCACGCUAUCAGAUGAGCCUAGGUCGGAUUAGCUAGUUGGUGGGGUAAAGGCCUACCAAGGCGACGAUCCGUAACUGGUCUGAGAGGAUGAUCAGUCACACUGGAACUGAGACACGGUCCAGACUCCUACGGGAGGCAGCAGUGGGGAAUAUUGGACAAUGGGCGAAAGCCUGAUCCAGCCAUGCCGCGUGUGUGAAGAAGGUCUUCGGAUUGUAAAGCACUUUAAGUUGGGAGGAAGGGCAGUAAGUUAAUACCUUGCUGUUUUGACGUUACCAACAGAAUAAGCACCGGCUAACUUCGUG